CGGAGCUAAUACCGGAUAGUUCCUUGAACCGCAUGGUUCAAGGAUGAAAGACGGUUUCGGCUGUCACUUACAGAUGGACCCGCGGCGCAUUAGCUAGUUGGUGGGGUAAUGGCUCACCAAGGCGACGAUGCGUAGCCGACCUGAGAGGGUGAUCGGCCACACUGGGACUGAGACACGGCCCAGACUCCUACGGGAGGCAGCAGUAGGGAAUCUUCCGCAAUGGACGAAAGUCUGACGGAGCAACGCCGCGUGAGUGAUGAAGGUUUUCGGAUCGUAAAGCUCUGUUGUUAGGGAAGAACAAGUGCGAGAGUAACUGCUCGCACCUUGACGGUACCUAACCAGAAAGCCACGGCUAACUACGUGCCAGCAGCCGCGGUAAUACGUAGGUGGCAAGCGUUGUCCGGAAUUAUUGGGCGUAAAGGGCUCGCAGGCGGUUUCUUAAGUCUGAUGUGAAAGCCCCCGGCUCAACCGGGGAGGGUCAUUGGAAACUGGGAAACUUGAGUGCAGAAGAGGAGAGUGGAAUUCCACGUGUAGCGGUGAAAUGCGUAGAGAUGUGGAGGAACACCAGUGGCGAAGGCGACUCUCUGGUCUGUAACUGACGCUGAGGAGCGAAAGCGUGGGGAGCGAACAGGAUUAGAUACCCUGGUAGUCCACGCCGUAAACGAUGAGUGCUAAGUGUUAGGGGGUUUCCGCCCCUUAGUGCUGCAGCUAACGCAUUAAGCACUCCGCCUGGGGAGUACGGUCGCAAGACUGAAACUCAAAGGAAUUGACGGGGGCCCGCACAAGCGGUGGAGCAUGUGGUUUAAUUCGAAGCAACGCGAAGAACCUUACCAGGUCUUGACAUCCUCUGACAACCCUAGAGAUAGGGCUUUCCCUUCGGGGACAGAGUGACAGGUGGUGCAUGGUUGUCGUCAGCUCGUGUCGUGAGAUGUUGGGUUAAGUCCCGCAACGAGCGCAACCCUUGAUCUUAGUUGCCAGCAUUCAGUUGGGCACUCUAAGGUGACUGCCGGUGACAAACCGGAGGAAGGUGGGGAUGACGUCAAAUCAUCAUGCCCCUUAUGACCUGGGCUACACACGUGCUACAAUGGACAGAACAAAGGGCUGCAAGACCGCAAGGUUUAGCCAAUCCCAUAAAUCUGUUCUCAGUUCGGAUCGCAGUCUGCAACUCGACUGCGUGAAGCUGGAAUCGCUAGU
rnacentral:rRNA from 1 species